ensembl:lncRNA
AAGAUAUUGGAAACAUAAACAGUAAAUGUGAGCUUCAGUAUUCUUAAUACUAGAUCAUUCUCUGUAUACUACAUUUGGCCAUACAUUUUCCAAAAUUAUUAUUGAUAUUUGAUGCUUAAUUAAGACCAUUUAAGUCACCUUAUUUUUUCAAAAACUUCAAAAAUACUCAUAUCCUACUUUCCUUAAAAGUAACGUCUCCUCUGGAAAAAGUUAUGAUCCAUCUGGACCCUUUCCUGUCUAACCUACUGCAGGGAACUUCUUUAGCAGUGAGAUUGGACUGGGUGAUCUCCAGAGGUGCCUUCCAACCGCUGCGAUUCCAUGAUUCAGUGAUUACGAUUCUUCCUACAUAUAGAGAUGAGCAUUUUCGGCGUCUGUAAUACUGCUGAUCUGUUCUGUCUAAACCUAAGCUGUAUCUUUGAGAAGAGUCUUUGGCCAUUUGGUCCCUUUCAAAGGAAGACUUGAAGGUAUAAUAACACUGUAAUGCAUGUCUGAAUUUGUCCUGUGGCCUAUUCCUAAAAAUAAGAUUUUGAAUUAACUUCAAGCUUUCCUCCUCAAAUGGUGUGCUGCAUCAACUUUUGUUCAAAGGGUUUGUAUUUGACUGGAGCCUGUUGGAAUAAAGAGAAGGCACAGGGGCUCAUAAUCGUGUAUGCUCAUUGCCCAGGAAAGAUUCUUGGGUGACAACAGGUUCCUCAGCAGGAAAGGUGCUGCACUUCAUUUCAGGAAACACAAUUUGAUUGGGCUCCAGGACUUCUGAUUUGUUCUCCUCAACCACUGGACAUCACAAAGGGCUGAAAGCCAAUCCUAAUUUUUUGCUGAAGAUUCAGUGGGGCAACAUAGAUUAAUUCCUUUUGCCUCUGCUACCAGAACAUCUUGCAAAAGGAGACUAAAGGAAUGGAUGAAGAUAGAAUGAGCACUAGAUUCCCACAAACAUUGUCCACGGAGAUUCUGAAGUCCUAAACUGGAAGAGAGGAGGAUAUCUUGUGUGGGGCUCCAACCAGGUAUAGAUAAUGUGUGACACUGUAUUAUACUAAGGACAUAAUAAGGUAUAAUAGUCCAGUUCACAGGCAUCUCAACUUGGGCAAGUAGAAUUUAGUGAAAACAUCAGACCUUAAUUUCUUUGUGCAUACAGAAUGGUGAUUAGCAAUACCUUCUUAGGCAGUUUCUGUAAAUAUUUAUGAAGUGCAUGAGAUGCUAUAGCAACAAGCAACAUGCAAAUCUCAGGACAAAAUUUGUUUUGCUUUUGGUGUGGGAUAUGAUUAGCGUGCAAAAACAACGUGAGGGCUGAGAAAUUCCUCUGACCGCACAAUAGACAGUGAGGCAAAAGCAAAGUACUGUUUAAUAACAGCUAAUUUUGCAUACUGAAAUAAGUGGAGCCCUGUGAAGAAUGUCUUUGCUUUUUGUAUCACAGUAUCUCAAAGACUGAAGUAACAGAGGCACUAUGGAUUUUGCCUACAUUUCAAACAAGAAAUAUAUGUGAUGAUUCAGAUAGAACUGAUGGCAAAUGUGUAUCCUUUUUCCAGCUGUUAACCUCUGUACUGGUGCUCUAUAAUUCAUGGGUCCCAUAGAGGUUUUCAGGGCUAGAUAAAAUAUCAGAGUAUUGCAUUCAAGUGGACUACAAAGUGUUGAGUAUUUUGUUCUGCCUUCUGCUGGCUACUGACAGUGAAUUUUGUGUUCAGAAAGACUUCUCUUUAAAUCAACACUCCUUUACAAUAAUAUUGCCCCAAUGAGAGACUUUAAUAAUACAAGAAACCAGCAUGUUUAAAUACAUAAAAACCACAGUAGGGUAGAGAAACCACAACAACUCAGCAGGCCUGUGCAGGACCAGCAGCUACAGCAAUGAGAGGAGGAUGAAGAAGACUGCCAUAUAAAUUCAGCUUACAGAAAUUAUUUUGUUUGACUGAGGUUGCAAAAUGACAGUGAGAGAAGUGAUAAAAUGGACUUUCCAGGGUGAAGUAAUCCAGAAACCUUAGCAGUCUGAAAAUCAUUUUUUCUAGUCUGUCUCAAUCUUCUAAUAAUCUAAACCCUGGUCAAAGGGAUUAUUUGUGUGGUAGAUGGUUAAAGACUGAUUCUGGGAAAGUCAGAAUUAACAGAAAUGGUUAAAUAUUAGGAAAGAAAACACUUUGCAUUGUUUAAUUUGCUGUUUGCAUACCAUAAAAGAUAUCUUCUAUUUCAUACAACUUUCUUCAUAUUUCAAAUAUAGGUGUGAAGUUGUUUGCAUUCCUAAGCACUGUGUUAAUAGAGAGCUAAACAUUUCUCUGAUAUGGCAAAGAAGUAUCCUGCACUGAUGCCAUGGACAAUGGAAAUUUUUUUCAAACUAACUGCAUGAUUAAACUGUACUUGUUUUCAUUUGAUUGUAUGACCUUAAUACGCUUAAUACGCUGAAGUAUUUCUUUGCAAGUUGUUAAACUCCUGUUCUGUACUUUAUAUGCAGUUAUGUUCACCUGUUAGAAAGAUACCCAAUAUUUAUGAUUCUGUAGACAUCAGCAGUAGAGCUAGCAGAGAAGUCUCUUACUCAGAGCUGAAUUAAUAACCUGGCGUAGCAUCGGGGCCAUUGUGCUGGUGGAAGUUAUAUAUUUCAGAUAAGACACGUUGUUUUGCAUAACUGAACUAGUGAAUAGUAUUAAUGUUACCAGGACAUUGGAAUAAUUCAGUGAUGAGAAAAAAUAUUCCAUGAUCUCUAAUCCUACAUUAGAGGAAUCAGAUAUGUCUGUAGUCUCAGUAGAAGAAAAUCAGUAUUUCUGUAAUUUCAACAAAGGUAUUCCUGUGUUCAGUCAUAGAAGUACCUCAGUCUUAGGAACACCAAGGCAAAUCCAGUGUUCUUACUUCUUGCCUAGAAAUAAACAAACAAAACCAAACAACAACACAACAUUUGCAACAUUUGUGAUUUCAACUGGAUGAAAUAAUCUUGCUUUUCCCAUCCUAAACUGCCAAAACCAUUUGCAAUCCAUUCUGACAAAUGCUAAGUAUUCUUUAGGUACAUCUGCAAAUUAUACUUGGAAGUAAGUUAACAUACAGAAAUAGUUUGAUACUUCUGUUCAGCCAAAGAGCACAAGAAUUUCUUCAAAUGACCUUUUCCAAAAAUCGUUUGAUCUUACCUUCUUUUUUUUUUUUUUUUUUUCCAUCACAGUGGAUUGUGGUUCCAUAAUCAUUCUGAUUCUUUUUCUCAUAUACUAAAUUUUAAUGUGUACCUAAAUGUAUAGCUUCAAAAGUGCAAUAAUCUUUUCUCUGUGAUCAAGCUCACACAAGCACAGAUGAUGUAGUCUUUUUUCAAAUGUAUCUAGGGGAAAUCCAGUGUCACCUCUUUCUCACUGGAGCCCCACUACCUUUUUGUUCUCUAUUUUUAUUGAUACAAACAUUUCACUUUUAGUUAACAAUUAUAAAUCAUAAUAAAGUUUUCAGUCUCUGCUUUUAUCUCAUGUUUUGUUUUGUUUUUUUUGGGGGGGGGUGCUUAUUCAUGAAUUUGGAUCUGAAAGAAUUAUCUAUGCUCUUUCUUAUUUUCUUAGAAAGCAAAUCAAAAUUAAGUUGAUCACUUACAGCAGUUUAAAGCCUUCUUAAUGAUUCUUCUCUUUAAGGAAUUAGAGUUCUCAGAUCAACUGAGUCCACAAACUAUUUUCCUGAGUUUGUGAAACCCUUAAUAAUCUUAUGGUUUUACUUCUCUUCAUCUAAUUUAAAAAUAUUGAUAAAAGUAUUUUCUUUGGCUAGCUUUUCUAGGAAAAAAAAUCAUAAAAUAGCAAAUAAAUCAUAGCCAGUAGAAACACAUCUUGAUUUUUCAGAAAGCGUUUGAUGAAAUCUACUGCCAAUUGCAUUCAGGAAUAUCAGUUUCUUCCCAGUAUUAGUAGCAUGUUGUACUAGAAUCACACAACUCUCAGUACUAAUAAUCUUUCUUGUAGCACUGAAGUUUGUCAUCCAUUUCUGACUUCAUCCCUAGGGGACCUCAACAGUCUCCCACCAUCAGCACAGUAAAAACUUCCUACUUUUCAUACUUACCCCAGGUCAUAUCCAAAGCUGCUGUGUGUACAUGCCUCAGGAAACUGGUGGCUGGAUUUAUGUGAGUAAUUCAUUUCCAGUUCAGUGACUACCAAAAGUGGGGAAGAUACUGCACAAAAAUAAAUAAAUAAAAUAAAAAAAUCGAUGUAGUACCAGGAUUUUGCAUUUUGAUUAUAUUUAAGAAAAAAAAAUCAAGCAGCAAAUCAACAUUUCAAAUGACAACUUAGAAUAUUAAAA